rfam:Pteropus alecto contig38764, whole genome shotgun sequence.
CGAUUGGAGAACAAUCUGGCUGCCACAUCUAUCACCCAUUGUUCUCCAGAGUUGCUUCUGCUCAUCUGACUUGCUAGGUAGGAUCUCCUUUCUCCCUCAACUCUUCAUUAUCAUCUCUCCAAAAACUCAAUCAAAAAAGAUGACUUUCGAUAUGGAGAAGAAAUCAUCUUCAAUCAAAGGUAUUGUAGGUAUUUAAUUCCCUGGGUAUAAUUACAAAACUAGCUCUACCUGUGGGGGGAAAUAGUUUCUUUUAAUUAGUUAUAAAUUUCCACCUCUCUUACUAUGGAAAGAAGAUAGU